rnacentral:rRNA from 1 species
UACGUAGGGGGCAAGCGUUGUCCGGAUUGACUGGGCGUAAAGCGCACGCAGGCGGACGCGCGCGUGGGGUGUGAAAUCUGGCCGCUUAACGGCCAGGCGCCAUCCCAUACGGCGCGUCUGGAGUGAUGCAGAGGUCGAUGGAAUUGCCGGUGUAGUGGUGAAAUGCGUAGAGAUCGGCAGGAACACCCAGGGGGAAACCAGUCGACUGGGCAUCUACUGACGCUGAGGUGCGAGAGCGUGGGGAGCGAACCGG